CGUGUAGGCGGAGAUGCAAGUUGGGAGUGAAAUCCCGGGGCUCAACCCCGGAACUGCUCUCAAAACUGUAUCCCUUGAGUGUCGGAGAGGCAAGCGGAAUUCCUAGUGUAGCGGUGAAAUGCGUAGAUAUUAGGAGGAACACCAGUGGCGAAGGCGGCUUGCUGGACGAUAACUGACGCUGAGGCGCGAAAGCGUGGGGAGCAAACA
rnacentral:rRNA from 1 species